GUGAAUCAUCGAAUCUUUGAACGCAAAUUGCACUCUCUUCGAAGAGUAUGCCUGUUUGAGUGUCAGCCUCAAAAAAAUUGGCAUAGUUGCUGUUACGCGGUAAUAUUCGUCGGGAAUUGGGUCAUCUUAAACCUUUGGGCUUAAGUGGCAUAAAAUUUUCUUUACGAUUCUAAGUACGUUUCUAAGAUUUUAUUUUCUUAUACGUUUAAGGUAGCGAUCUUUAUUAGAUGACGCCGUUGCAUC
rnacentral:misc_RNA from 1 species